AUCGUACCUCAUCUGCCACCUGCUGAGGAGCGAGACAAGAUCAAGGCAGAGUAUUUGGAGAAUAGGAGAAGGAAAUAUCAGCAGCAACAACAGCAAGAACAGCAAUAGCAGAUGAUCAUUGGAAACAGAGUCAGAUAUGGUACAAAAUACUUAAAUGGGAGAAGUGAAGGCAAUCUGUGAAUCAAAUAUUCCCAGUCCAAGCAGGCAAGUGUCAAAAUGAAUAUGAAACAAAUUCUUGUGGUCUCCAUCUUGAUGGCCCUUGUAGCUGUUGUGGUGGUGAAGGUUUACCCGAAUUAUCCAAGUGGGAAGCUGGGUGUGCUCUUCUAUUACUGCACCAGUUCCCAUGAAGACCGGAGGGAGGUGAAGGCUACCAGUGCUGGAGUGGCAGGGCUGCCCCUGAGUUCUGACACCCAAAUCAGCAUCAUCAUCCAUGGAUACACAGAGUCAUCUUUUCGAGUAUGGAUCCUCAACCUUACGGAUGCUCUGCUGGUUGCUGAGCCUGGCAGCCUGGUGAUCCUGGUAGACUACUGGGACUUAGUCACCAUUUCCCGGCCCUAUAUGAUGGCCAAUACCAGGCAGAUAGCUAACACCACAGCCCAAUUUAUUGACUUGCUGGUUGAGGAGAGAGGGGUGAGACUCAGCAAGAUCCAUGUGAUAGGGUUCAGCUUGGGAGGCCGAAUCAGUGGUCUUGUUGGGGAUAGAGUCAAAUCAGGAACUCUUGGAAGAAUCACAGGGUUGGAUGCCUCCUACCCAUGGCUGCCUCCCAAAACCAAGGACGAGUUUCUAGAUGCCAGUGAUGCUGCCUUGGUGGUCACCCUACGGACCUCCACCAUAGGGUCCUACUCCCCACCUGGCCACAUUGACUUUCAUGCUAAUGGAGGUCACAUACAGCCAGGGUGUAGCACAUGGUAUCUCCCCAAGACAGUGCACACAAGAGUAAGUUUAACAAUCUCCAGCGGAGCAAGUAUGCAGCCACUACCGGGCAGUGUGGAUCAUGGUAGAAGCUGUGAGGCAUGGUAACAGUGCCUUUCCAGCUUGCAGGUGUGACAGCAGGGAAAGUUUUGUGCACCAUUCCUGUACCUGUGAGACUGUCAAUCAUUUCGGUCUCUCACCAAACACCAGUGCUCAUGGAAACUUCCAGUUUUCAACAAAUGCAGCACCUCCAUAUUCCCAGCCACUGGAACACAAGAAUUGAUGUUAGCCUGCGGUCCUGUCUUAACCUGUACUGCCCAAUUCAACAAGCUUUGACAAAUUUGUCAAGGCAGUGCAUGAAGAUGCUGUGGCUGAACCUGCUGUCUACACUUUUGUACUCAAGUAGAAUAUUUUGUGCUGCCUUCUCUAGUCUGAUUUACAUUACUACCAUCUAUCCUCUGCUUGGGAAGAAAAGCAUUGUCAGGCAACAUCACAGGUGUAAUAGAAAAAAAGUUUAAAGUUAUGUGGGUAUUUACCAGAAGUACUUUUCAUGUAUCUCAUUCAUAUGAUUUCUUUUUACAUGUUCAUUCUCUUGAGAGUAUGGAACACAAUGUUUUUCAACUUGUAUUACACAUUGAUAUUGUAGGAUAAUUUUUGGUAAAUGAUUUAUUGAAUGCAUAUUGUCACUCCCUUAGCCACAUGCAACUGAGCAAUGCAUUCUUUUUGCCAUUCUUUAGGUAAUUUUGAAGUAUAAGACCAGUCACUUUAAUAUACAAUAAUCUGUCUUUUUUUCAUAAAAAAAAUUAAUUUAGGCAUAACACUAAAAUGAUCAGUCUCAUUUACUUAUUUAAAUAAGUAAAUGAGACUGAUCAUUUUCUCACCAGGUAUCACUUAAGUGGUACCUGGUGAGAUUCCCAAUAUCUUUUAAAUAGCAAAUCCCAUAAAAUGACAUAAAUAAUGCAGAGACCAAUAUGAAAAUAACUUUACUUCCUUCCAUUACUGUCUGAAAAUUGUACAGGUGAACUUAUAUAAAUCAUCAUUUGCACAAAUAUGUAGAGGUAAUUAUUCCUGUCUCCAAUUUCACCUAUUCCAGAAGAACACAUAACACACACACACAUACUCGAACCUUCAUGCAGCCCUCCACCUUCCUACCAACUAAAAGAUUUGCUAUGAUAUAACUCAUGUGCUGUGUUGUGUCUUCCUUGAGCUGUUCAGGCACAUCUGUAAUGCCACUCCUCUCCAUCCUUAUUCAAUGGCCUCGCCACAGGAACCUCUUCAACCUUGUCCCAUAUCAAUCUUCUUCAUGUCUCCAUCCUAUCAUUCAAAUCACACUUGUUACAAUCAUGACUUACACUGUUUGUUCAUGUAAUCUUUCUGAAGACCCAGGCCUGGUAUAUACCUGAAGAUGGAGAAAAAAAAAGUUAUUGCUCACCACUGCAUAGAAUGCUUAUUACUUAUGUGCAAGUUUUCUAGUUCCUGCAUUUUAUAUAUAUAUAUAUAUACUCGUAUAUAUAUAUAUAUAUAUAUAUAUAUAUAUAUAUAUAUAUAUAUAUAUAUAUAUAUAUAUAUAUUCCAAGAAAAUAAAAUUAAGGAAAUAAGUAUACAAAGGAAUUGAAUCUGGAAAAAAAAAAAUAAAUAAAUAAAUGUUUACCCAUCAGGUUAUGGCAAAGACAAUUUUCAGUCUCUUGGAGGAAGAGCACAUACAUCCUGUACCUAUUUGUUUCUUGGUGAAUAGGUGACAAACCCAAUUUGUCUUUGGUCUAAGAUUCAAAUCAGUACCUCUUGGGUGUGACACAAGUACAUUAACUUCCUUUGGGUCCUAAAGUAACAGAAUCUGUUUGGAAUACUUGGUCAGAUCUAAAGUGAUCUAACUUAAAAACAGGUCCACUCUAACAUUACUUUUUCCACAUCUUUAUACCUCAUAAAUGCUUUCAGAAUGUUUUGUAAAUAUAAGUAUGGUAAACCCUCAAUAUAAUGAAUACAUGCAAGGGAAGAGUGGGUUGCUAAAGCUAAUAAACACUUCGUUAUUUACAGAAUCAUUCGGUCAUACACACCCUCUCGUCUCUCCAGACUCCCUACUACAUAUUAUAUUUACAGCAGUUAAUAACAGUUGUUUGUCUUGUAUUGUACAGCAUAGUACUGUCCUUAUUUAAAUGUAAAGAAAAAGGAUGUGUACACUUCAAAUUUUCUGUGUGUGUAUUUUUUACCUAGUUGUAUUUACCUAGUUGUAUAGUACAGGGUUUGACCAGGGCUCAUAGUGUCCUGUCUCUGUAUGUGUAUAUAUAUAUAUAUAUAUAUAUAUAUAUAUAUAUAUAUAUAUAUAUAUAUAUAUAUAUAUAUAUAUAUAUAUAUAUAUAUAUAUCCAGCAUUUCCUUAAAUUUGUGCAUGUUUGGUGCUGUAACAACCUCCUCGUUUACACCAUUUCAGAUAUCCACAGUUCUAUGUGGGAAACUGUACUUCUUGACACACACACACACACACACACACACACACACACACACACGUGUGUGUGUGUGUGUGUGUGUGUGUGUGUAGAACUAUUUGUGUGAGUGCGUGUUUGUGUGUCUGAAAGGGUAUGAGUGUUUAUGUAAAAGUGGGUGUGUUUGUGUGUGUGUACAGGUAGAUAAGGGGAAUGUGUAUGUAUCUCUCUCUCUCUCUCUCUCUCUCUCUCUCUCUCUCUCUCUCUCUCUCUCUCUCUCUCUCUCUCUCUCUCUCUCUCAGUACCAUAUUAGUGUAUUGGUUUUUUACUGUCACUUUCUAUUACUAUACAGUAAAUAAUACUGCAGUAUAUAAUAAGAUUAGAGUACAGUGCAGUAAUGAAAUUUUUUUUCAUACCUUGGAAGAAAACGAUGUUUUAGUAGUGAACUGUAUGAAGCAGAAGGAAGGAAGGAAGAUGAUGCAACCACACUUUACACCAUACACCAGAGCACACCAAACACACAUCCUUAUGUACAAGUCUUUGAUGCCAUUCUUACAGGCCAUUUCUUGAUGUGUAAAUAAAAAAAAAAAAAAAUGACAAAACACGUGCUGACAGUUAGUGCACAACACGAGAUGAGAUAACAAACUGACAUGCCAAGCAGACUGAGUAGCAUUUUUGUGAAGCUAUAAGGUUUUUUGAAAAGUUGGUGCAAUGUUUUUCUCUCAGAGAGGCUAGCUACACCCUCUGCAAUGAUAUCAUGCAUGGCUAACUUUUGAUUGGCUGCUGCCUGCCUCCUCCCAGGCAGCAGCCAAUAAGGAUUUUGUUAUGCAUGAUGUCACUGCAGAUGGUGUGGUUAGCCUUUGCAGAAGAAAAACAUUGCACCAUCUUUCAAAAAUAUGCAGUUGACUGUAUGUCAGCCAACUCUCCUGCAUUUUACAACCUACUAUGUUUGUAAAAUAAAACAAGUGUUUGAUAAUUUAAAAAACACAGUAAUUUGCAAAGUUAGUUUGCAAAACAAAAUGAGUGUUCAAUGGCCUUAGAGGGGUUGUUAUAUCUGAAAUAUGGUAAAUAGAAGUUCAUUAUAUUGAGGGUUUACUGUACAUAAAAACCCUACUCACUUUUGUAAAUUAAUAUGCAAAUAGAGAAAAGCCUAAACUCCACAUUC